GGAGUGUAUGGAAUGUUGAAGUGUAUGGAAUGUUGGAGUGUAAGGAAUACUGAAGUGUAAGGAAUGUUGGAUUGUAUGGAAUGUUGAAGUGUAUGGAAUGUUGGAGUGUAAGGAAUGUUGAAGUGUAAGGAAUACGGAUGUGUAAGGAAUGUUGGAGUGUAUGGAAUGUUGGAGUGUAAGGAAUGUUGAAGUGUAAGGAAUACUGAAGUGUAAGGAAUGUUGGAGUGUAAGGAAUGUUGGAGUGUAAGGAAUGUUGGAGUGUAAGGAAUGUUGAAGUGUAAGGAAUGUUGGGAUGUAAGGAAUGUUGGAGUGUAUGGAAUGUUGGAGUGUAAGGAAUACUGAAGUGUAUGGAAUGUUGGAGUGUAAGGAAUACUGUAGUGUAAGGAAUGUUGAAGUGUAAGGAAUGUUGGAGUGA
ensembl:lncRNA